GGAGUUAGCCGGUGCUUCUUCUGUGAGUGAUGUCCUUCCUGCCGGCUAUUAACCCGCAGGCCUUCUUCCUCACUGAAAGUGCUUUACAACCCGAAGGCCUUCUUCACACACGCGGCAUGGCUGGAUCAGGGUUGCCCCCAUUGUCCAAUAUUCCCCACUGCUGCCUCCCGUAGGAGUCUGGGCCGUGUCUCAGUCCCAGUGUGGCUGAUCAUCCUCUCAGACCAGCUACGGAUCGUCGCCUUGGUGAGCCGUUACCUCACCAACCAGCUAAUCCGACAUAGGCUCAUCCGAUAGCGCGAGGCCCGAAGGUCCCCCGCUUUCCCCCGUAGGGCGUAUGCGGUAUUAGCCUGGGUUUCCCCAGGUUAUCCCCCACUACCGGGCAGAUUCCUAUGCAUUACUCACCCGUCCGCCGCUCGCCACCAGGGAGCAAGCUCCCCGUGCUGCCGCUCGACUUGCAUGUGUUAGUCCUGCCGCCAGCGUUCAAUCUGAGCCAUGAUCAAACUCUGA
rnacentral:rRNA from 1 species